rfam:Schistosoma mattheei strain Denwood, Zambia genome assembly, scaffold: SMTD_scaffold0007666
AUCUAGCUGACGAGUUCCAAAUUCGACGAAACGCGCUUCCUUGAU